GGUUGCCAGGGGAGCCUGGCGAGGCUUCCACUUGAUCCUUGUGCUGAAAGAUGAGCAACAUUCCUGGCGCGCAGGCAGAAUGGAAGGGCAUUCCAGGUGGGGAACAGGAGGUGCCAAGGCACAUCAAGAUGGACAGUUUGGCCCCCUGGUGGAAAAGGAACAUUCAUCCAGCAUCCAUCAACAUCCUCCCAUCUUAGAGCACUAGCAGUGCCGUGCCGUCCCCUUUAAAGCAGCGCACAAGUCAAGAAAGGCGAAUAAUCACUCACAGCAAAUGAUGACAGUUGAAACCUAUCUUUAAAAGGUUUUCUGAGAAGUCUCCAUCCACACUGAUUUCAGCCACUGAUAAUCAGCGAUCUGGUACUAAGGAGUGAAGGUUCACCAUGAAUCAGUCCUCCGAAAACAGAAAGAAACCAGAGAUGGCAUCUGAUAAUUCCAAACAUCCUGGUGAAAGCUUAAAUAACCCAGUCAUCGUGAGAUAUUUUGUUUUGUUUCUACAUAAAAUAUCUCAACAUUUUAACAAACUUUUCAGUGAUCACAAACACAAUCAAAAGAUUUUACUGUAUUCUGACAUUGGGUGAAUAGAUCUGUCCCUUUGAGGAAUAAGCUUCCCCCACCAAAAGAAAAACAAUGAAAAACAUCAAGACGACAGAGUAAGGGGCUGAAGAGUCUAACCGUAAAACUGGAAAGCCAAGAACAUUCUAUUUCCUAUGGAUUAACAUUUACACAAACAUUAACUUCACUAAUGGAGGGCUUUUGCUAC